UCCCAUAAACCGUGGCUCAGUUCAGAUCGUAGGCUGCAACUCGCCUACGUGAAGGCGGAAUCGCUAGUAAUCGCAGGUCAGCAUACUGCGGUGAAUACGUUCCCGGGCCUUGUACACACCGCCCGUCACACCAUGGAAGUUGGCCACGCCCGAAGCCGUUACUCCAACCCUUGUGGAGGAGGACGUCGAAGGUGGGGCUGAUGACUGGGGUGAAGUCGUAACAAGGUAUUCGUACCGGAAGGUGCGGAUGGAUCACCUCCUAA
rnacentral:rRNA from 1 species